AGGGCUGUGGCUUGGUGGAAGAGCCUCUGCUUUGCAUGCGGAUGGUCCCAAGUUCCAUCCCUGGCAUCUCAA
rnacentral:tRNA from 1 species